rnacentral:lncRNA from 1 species
ACAAAAAUUUGGUUCCCAUACUGCUUUUAAGGCCAUCCUCUGCACUUGGUUCCCGCUGCUCCUGAUGUGGUUGAAAGAUGGAUGACCCCAAAGACGAGGAAAAGAUUAUUGGCUCCAUUUUUUAGAUGCGGCAGCCAGCUAAGGUCUAGACAGGGGAAGGGACUUGCCCCAAAUCACAGUUAGAGCAAAUCAGUCUGAAUCAGGAAUAACUCCAUUCCUAUCCCGCAUCCUGCCCUUUCACUACGCCACAGCUGCCUGGCUGCCUGGAGGAACAAAGGAGGGCCGGGCAAGAACGCCAUUACCAACUGCAAAUCCACAGGCAAAUGCAAGAGGACAGAAAUCCCAAGAACCCAGCCCCUAAGCCUUCAGCUCUGUCCCAGGUCUGCCUCUCCUCCAGGCCCUCAGGACGCAGGCUCCAAGCCUUCGACUGCCCAGAUCCCCCAUUCCCUCCAAGACCCAGGAGUCCAGCCUUCUGGCCUCUCUCACCUCAGCUUCCAGCAGUUCUGGAACAGGCUCCUCCUUGGUCAGCAUUGGGGGUUCGUCGGUGCUGCCAGCAGUUAUGCCCCCGGGAUCUGGAACGUCAAGGCGCUGCGAAUACGAGUGGGUCUCCACCACCAGAAUGGCUAAAGUGAAAAAGACCGCACCGUGUGGAGGCGAGAAAGUAGAGCGACUGGACCUCUCUUGUAUUUCUGGGGGAGUGUAAAUUGGUAGAGACAUUUUGGAAAACUGGCAGUUUUCUAAUGAAGCCGAACAUAUGCCACCUCUGUGAUCCAGCAGUUCCACUCCUAGGCUGUCAACACCCAGCAGAAAUGUGUAGGUGUGAGCAUCAAGAGGGUGCAUGGGAAUGUUCAGAGCCCUUUCAUAACAGCCCCAAACUGGAAAUAACCCAUCAACAGAAUGGAAAAUGAAUGAUGCCCUACUCACUACCAUGCACAUAGACACAGCAACGGGAUUGACAUGCCCGGCUACACACAGCAACAUAGACAAGUCGCAUGAUGAAAUCUUGAGUGACAGAAGCCAAAUGCAACAGUACAUACUAGAUGGUUCCAGGUGUAUUACGUUCAGAACCAGACAAAACUAAUUUAUAGUGCACCAAAGUCAAGAUAGUGAUCGCCCUUAGGGUUGGGAGGGGACGAGGGGAGAGCUUCUGGGAGCUGAUCCAGUUCUGUUGUGUAAUCUGGUGCUGGUUCCCUGGGCAUAUGUAUUCUGUGAAAAUCCAUCACAUGACUUAAAUAAAAUGUACAUUACUUAAAUAAAA